CCCUUAGGUGUUCUGGGCCGCACGCGUGCUACACUGAGUGGAUCAGCGGGUCAGGUUGCGCGAAAGCGUUUCCUAAUCUUUAAAUCCGCUCGUGAUGGGGAUUGACGGUUGCAAUUUUCUGUCAUGAACGAGGAAUACCUUGUAAGCGCGGGUCAUCAUCCCGCGCUGAAUACGUCCCUGCCCUUUGUACACACCGCCCGUCGCUCCUACCGAUUGAGUGGUCCGGUGAGGCUUUGGGAUCUGAGCGGAAAGAGCGUUUCGCUGUUUCUGCUCGGAAAACUCAGUCGAACCUUAUCAUUUAGAGGAAGGAGAAGUCGUAACA
rnacentral:rRNA from 1 species